UACGUAGGUGGCAAGCGUUUGUCCGGAAUUAUUGGGCGUAAAGCGCGCGCAGGCGGUCUUUUAAGUCUGAUGUGAAAGCCCCCGGCUCAACCGGGGAGGGUCAUUGGAAACUGGGAGACUUGAGUGCAGAAGAGAAGAGUGGAAUUCCACGUGUAGCGGUGAAAUGCGUAGAGAUGUGGAGGAACACCAGUGGCGAAGGCGACUCUUGGUCUGUAACUGACGCUGAGGCGCGAAAGCGUGGGGAGCAAACAGG
rnacentral:rRNA from 1 species